rnacentral:tRNA from 1 species
ACGGGGUCGAGGCCCGUCAGUCUAUU